AACGAACGCUGGCGGCAUGCCUAACACAUGCAAGUCGAACGAGACCUUCGGGUCUAGUGGCGCACGGGUGCGUAACGCGUGGGAACCUGCCCUUAGGUUCGGAAUAACUCCCCGAAAGGGGUGCUAAUACCGGAUAAUGUCUUCGGACCAAAGAUUUAUCGCCUUUGGAUGGGCCCGCGUUGGAUUAGCUUGUUGGUAGGGUAAAAGCCUACCAAGGCGACGAUCCAUAGCUGGUCUGAGAGGAUGAUCAGCCACACUGGGACUGAGACACGGCCCAGACUCCUACGGGAGGCAGCAGUGGGGAAUAUUGGACAAUGGGCGGAAGGCUGAACCAGCAAUGCCGGGUGAGUGAUGAAGGCCGUAGAGUUGUAAAGCUCUUUUACCCGGGAUGAUAAUGACAGUACCGGGAGAAUAAGCGCCGGCUAACUCCGUG
rnacentral:rRNA from 1 species